CCUACGGGAGGCAGCAGUGGGGAAUAUUGCGCAAUGGGCGAAAGCCUGACGCAGCGACGCCGCGUGAGGGAUGAAGGUCUUCGGGUCGUAAAACUCUGUCAGCAGGGAAGAACGGUCACUGUGCUAAUCAGCAGUGAAUUGACGGUACCUGCAAAGGAAGCACCGGCUAACUCCGUGCCAGCAGCCGCGGUAAUACGGAGGGUGCGAGCGUUAAUCGGAAUUACUGGGCGUAAAGCGCUCGUAGGCGGUAUGUCAAGUCAAGGGUGAAAGUCCCGCGCUCAACGUGGGAACUGCCUUUGAAACUGGCAAACUGGAGUGUGUGAGAGGAUAGUGGAAUUCCAGGUGUAGGAGUGAAAUCCGUAGAUAUCUGGAGGAACACCAGUGGCGAAGGCGACUAUCUGGCACAUAACUGACGCUGAGGAGCGAAAGCGUGGGUAGCAAACAGGAUUAGAUACCCCAGUAGUC
rnacentral:rRNA from 1 species